UUUGCAGGUAUAAUGAAGAAUCUUGAGGUCCUCCUGGAUUACCAAAGUGGGCCCUAAAUCCAGUGGCAGAAGACACAGACACAGAGAGGAGACCAGGUGAAGACAAAAGAAGAGGCUGGAGUGAUGCAACCAUCAGUGAAUCUGAAUUUGCUGUUUAAGGUACUAGGACAUCCCCCAUAAAGACUUUUGAAAUUUACAUUAAAACAAAAUUUAAAAAAGCUUCAAGCCUUUACCCCUAGGUUAUCCAUGAUUGAAAUUUUGGUUGGAGCUGAAUAACGUUUAACGAGAAAUUAGAAAUGGUUAACGUCUAAUUCAAGGAGCAAGAAGAAAAAGAUCAACGCUUCUCAUUUAUCUAGCUUUGUGUCUUCUUGCAAGUCAAUGCAUAGAAGUAUGAGUGAGAAGUGGAGCUGUUGGAAACUACCUAGUAUAACCCAUUUUUUUUUUCCCAGAGAGUGAAAAUACUCAGUUACCUCCUGGUUUAUGAGGCAAUGAAGUAUUCCAGCACAUAAAUAUUGACGCUGAGACCCAUGGGAUGUAGGAGUGCUGAGCACAUUUGCAAGACAUAAAGACCGAAGGUAAAUGAAGUUACAUCUCUUCCUAUAAAAUGCAAUCUGUCCAAAAAAAUAAGAAAGAAAUUUUAUUUUACUUGCAUGUAUCUCUAAUUCCCCAGCCAGAUCAUAAUAUCUUUAAGAAAAAAAAUCAUAAUUAAUAUAUUCAAUUAAGAAACAAUUAUCUUUGUCCUGAUCCAUCCCAGGUGUUGUUCUAGGCAUUGAAUCCAGCAAUGAACAUUACAGUUGUAGUCUUUGCUCUGAGAGCUUACAUUCUACUAUUAGGGAAGAGACAGAUAGUGAGCAAAUGAAGGGCUGAGUAUGUUUUAGAUACUCAUGAGUGCUAAAAAUAAAUGAAGAAGGUGAUAUGAUAAGAACGAAGGUAGUCUAGGAAGGGGCUUCUGGGAAUAGAACUUUAGAGCUGAGACCCAGGAUUAGGAAAGAUUCUGAGUCAGAGGAAGACAGAUUGAAGUAAGAGAAAUAAUAAGCACAAAGGCCUUAGAGUGGGAGAGUGUGUGCUUUUGAGAACAGAAAGAUGACCAGUCCAAUGUGGCUGGAGUAGAUAAUCCACUCGGAGAGUUGAUCCAGAUCACUUAGGACCCCACAGACCAGGUAAACACUGCCAUGACCUCACCGACCUUGUUCUACUUGGCGAAACCACAACUCUGACUUAAAUUCCAACUCUGUUUACUCAACCAUACCAGCUGACCUCAAAUCAAAUUCAUGACAUGGAUCCUAAACUGGCUUUUAAUGCUGCCUGGCAGUCAUGGCAGUCAUGCUACAUUUCUUUAGUCCAAUUAUUCUCUCAUUCCUUUAGAUGAGGGUUUCACUUCUAUCACCCAGGCUGGAGUGCAGUAACAUGAUCUCAGCUCACUGCAACCUCCGCCUCCUGGGCUCAAGCUGUUCUCUUGCUUCAGCCCCCCUAUUGGCUGGAAUUACAGGUGUGUG
rnacentral:lncRNA from 10 species